AUGGCACAGUGCAGGACUAAGCCGAUGGCAUUCCUUUAUUCUUCAACCAGUGGACAGUGGCAAGCCAUUGCAUCAGAGGAUUGGAGCAAUUUGUUGGGUUGUGUGAAGCCCGUAUAUUUGGAAUCCCGUUUGUUCCAAGCGUGUGGUCAAGCCUAUGGAUGCUUGUACUGGAAGAUGCGUGGGCCGGAAUUCGGCCUGAAGAAUUAUCCGAGGGAAGUUAUGCUCGUUCUUCACACCACGAGGAUGAAGUUUUCUGUUGCUGAUUUGCCAGCCGGAAGAAGAUGGAGGGGCGGAGGCUUUGGUAUUGUGGAUGCAGGGGAAGGCAAGCUUGGACUGAUUACUCAUUCGAAUGAUGGCACACUAGGGUAUAUUGUUAGGCAGAACACCGAUAUGAAUGAGUGGCAGAUAGAGAAGAUAAUCACAUUGGCUGAGGGUGACCAUACUACCAUACAUGUAACUGAGAGGUACUUGCUCGUACUAAGGUCAGAUGUGAGGAUCGACUUCAUGACAUUUCAGGUUGGGAGGCUUUAUGAGAAAUCUGAAUGUUUCUCACUAGUCGUCAACACAUUUAAGCUUGAGAGGGUGUGUGAGAAAAGAAAUGUCUCAUGUGGGCCCAUAUACACCAACUUCCCACCAUCAUUGUCGUCAAGGACAGUAUGA
rnacentral:rRNA from 1 species